rnacentral:rRNA from 1 species
ACGGGAGGCAGCAGUAGGGAAUCUUCGGCAAUGGGGGCAACCCUGACCGAGCAACGCCGCGUGAGUGAAGAAGGUUUUCGGAUCGUAAAGCUCUGUUUUAAGUCAAGAACGGGUGUGAGAGUGGAAAGUUCACACUAUGACGGUAGCUUACCAGAAAGGGACGGCUAACUACGUGCCAGCAGCCGCGGGAAUACGUAGGUCCCGAGCGAUGUCCGGAUUUAUUGGGCGUAAAGCGAGCGCAGGCGGUUUGAUAAGUCUGAAGUUAAAGGCUGUGGCUCCACCAUAGGUCGCUUUGGACACUGUCAAACUUGAGUGCAGAAGGGGAGAGUGGAAUUCCAUGUGUAGCGGUGAAAUGCGUAGAUAUAUGGAGGAACACCGGUGGCGAAAGCGGCUCUCUGGUCUGUAACUGACGCUGAGGCUCGAAAGCGUGGGGAGCGAACAGGAUUAGAUACCCUGGUA